rnacentral:rRNA from 1 species
UACGUAGGGUGCAAGCGUUAAUCGGAAUUACUGGGCGUAAAGCGUGCGCAGGCGGUUCGGAAAGAAAGAUGUGAAAUCCCAGGGCUUAACCUUGGAACUGCAUUUUUAACUGCCGGGCUAGAGUAUGUCAGAGGGGGGUAGAAUUCCACGUGUAGCAGUGAGAUGCGUAGAGAUGUGGAGGAAUACCGAUGGCGAAGGCAGCCCCCUGGGAUAAUACUGACGCUCAUGCACGAAAGCGUGGGGAGCAAACAGG